GGAGGAUGGCUCAGUGGUAGAGUGCGGGCUUAGCGUGCAUGAGGUCCUGGGUUCAAUCUCCAGUACCUCCA
rnacentral:tRNA from 1 species